CUCUCCUCUCCUCUCCUCUCCUCUCCUCUCCUCUCCUCUCCUCUCCUCUCCUCUCCUCUCCUCUUCUUUUUUUUGUUUGUUUGUUUUUGUGUUUGUUUUUGUUUUUCUCCCUUGGAGUUAAUUUAAAGUUAUUCAAAGAAAGUAAUCAGAAUAGUUUGUAAAACAAUUAUGAUUAAAUUUGUGCCUUUCUCCCUUCCCUCCCUGAAAUUUUGGCUUUCAGCACCUCUUAGAAAGUCCCAAAGUAGUUCUAAUGUUUAUUUGCCUUUUCCUCUCUUGAUGUCUCUCAAUAGUGGAAUACAUUUUUCUACUGAAUAUUAAAAAGCAACAUUAAUCAUUCAGCAGUAAGGAGAAAAGCUUCAGCUGGUAUAAGCAGGCUUCAUUGACUUCCACAAAGCGAUGAUAAUUUAUGACAUGAGAAGAUCAUGCAGUAAAUAGCCUAUUAAAUCUAAAUGAAAUGUAUAGUUAAUUGCACAUGGCAUAUGAUUUAUGGUGCUAUUUGUUCUAGGAAUUUCUUGACAAGAUACCAUUAGUAUUUGGCAAAAGAUCUGAAAGUUUUUGUUGGAAAUUUGGCUCCAUUUUAACUAUAGCCAAUAGAUGUCUAAAUAAAGUGAUAGUAAAAAUCUGCUAGUGUUCUUGCUUAAUCUGUAUUGAAUAUAAAAUAUUUAUUGUAUUCUUGUUUUAUUGUCAGAAAACGGUGAAGUAUAAUUUAUUAUUUUAAUAAGAAAACUUCUAAAUUUCAUCUUGAUUUAUGUUUAGCUGAACGAAGUGCUGAUUUUCUGUCCACCUUUAUGAAUCAGUUCAACAUUAAAAGCCUGAUUCCUCCAAAGACCAAGGUCAGUGGUAAACAGAAACAACUGUUAUUUUAACUCUGCUUCACUUAUGUAAUUACUGAAUUUGUAUUGCGAUGUAUUCUUGACUCUUAUUUAGUUUGUUAUAUAAACUGAGUGCCAGUUUUAGUUUUGCAUCAGCAUAGCCAUCUUAAAAUGGACACAUAAUGUGGAACAAAAGCAUUUAACUUUCUAAAAUCAGACCCCUGGUAUCAGGAUCUAAAAUACAGUCAUGAGAAGCAAAUUGCUAUUUGCAAAGCAGAGAAACAACAGCCAGAUUGUUUCUUCUUCACUCACUGUGCACAGUGUGUGUUGGCACUACAUUGCAGUAGCUCAGAAAUCUCAAACUGUCAGGAAAAACAAACCAUGCCCUACAGACACAAUAGAAGAGUGAAGAAAAAGCACAGAAAGGAAACUAGAAUUCAUCUUAAUUUAACAAAAGCCUGCUAUAUUUGCCAACAGUGUGGUAGAGUGUACUUCUGGUUGGUGUUGCCAAAUUGAUGUCUAAAUGCUGAAGUAUGUUCUUGGCCCAGACCACUCCUUUCUGUGAUUUAGGAAAUGGUUUUACUCCUGAAGAGAGCAUUUCUAUGGCUAACAAGUGAAUAUACACGGAUCAGAGCAAGGUGAGAGUUAUUCCUCCGUUGCAUGCUUUAAAUCAUGGCUGUUAUGCAAGAUAACUUGUAGCAGACAUAGGAGCAGAAUUUAACUGUUCAGUGUGGUUACCCAUGCCCAUGUAGCCUAUCUGAUUAAUUGUGAAGCCUUUUAAAGGCUACUGUUUCUGAAUUUGCCAGGAGCUUGAAUUACAGCAUAGAUAUUUUGUUUUAUUUGUCAUUUUAUAAGAAAUGAAGAAAAAAAAAAAAGCACCUUCUAUCUAACAAAUUUUUAGUUUAAGGAAAAAAUAUUGUUUGAUAAACAGACAUGGAAACUCUAAAACAUGGAGGUUAGAAAGUGUCACAAGUAAAAUUACACCUGAAACCUUAAUUCCUUCCUCUAAAAAACAGCUUUA
rnacentral:lncRNA from 7 species